CGACAACGUCAAAAUUAAACAAAGAGUUUGGCGUAAAAAUCAUAAACAGGAUCAUAGUACGAGUGAAAGACCUGCAAUAAAUGGCAUAAUUUAAUAGAGAAGAUAUGAAACAUUGAGGAAGACCACAAGUACCCCUCCGUGCAUUAAUUAAGACACAGACGGGCCACAUGGGUAGUAGAAACAUCCAUCUUUCGUAAGGCAACUGGAUGGCUUCCUCACAUGAAAGAAUUCCACACCACAAGCAAGUGUUCGAGCUCACAACGCCGAGGGGCAAAUGAUUCAAAGUUAACUUCCUCGACCACUCGGACAUUGAGGCCUCCUGGAAAAUUGGUUAAAGGGAUAGUUCAGACAACAAUGAAGGCGAGGACAAUCCAAAAUGUUGUUAAUCUAGUAGUCCGACCCUUUUUUAUGAAGUUGCCUGCUUAUUGUAAUUAUUAUUUGUACAAUAUUCUACUAUAAAACAUCUUUAGAGUAACAUAAUAUAAUGAAAUGACUAUAAAGAAGUAAUUCUAAUAAUGUAAAACUGUUUGACCAUCACUGUGUUUUGACCAGUCACUUUACUAAUUGGAUAUACAUAACCUUCGUACAAAAUGCCCGUUCGAAUCCAACAAUACUUGAGAUUAAAAUACUAAGUCAAUAUAUUAUCUAUUUGUAUAAUUGUUAAUCUUUUCAUCAAAUGCAUGAUAAGCACAAUCUUGCACUCGGCUAAAACCUGUGAUUUUCCCUAGAGAAAUAUCCUAGUGUUUGUUUAAUGAUUUGGUUAGUGUUUAAUACCCAUAUGCUUAUACACUUCUUCGAAAGGUGUUCAACUUUUAUUUGGACAGUUUACAAACAUACAGGUUCAAAGAUCUGUACAUAUUUUCAUAUACAUAGACCGUUCAACGUCACUACUUUCGCCACUACGAAAGCGCUACCGUAGUGUACUUAAUGUCUGUAUUUCAUUUUAUUUGUAAUAGCAUGCGAUACUGUGAACACACUUCCAAUGGUU
rnacentral:lncRNA from 1 species